rnacentral:snRNA from 1 species
GUGCUCACUUCAGCAGCACAUAUACCAAAAUUGGAAAGAUACAGAAAAGAUUAGCAUGGCCCCUGCCCAAGGAUGACACACAAAUUCGUGAAGCAUUCCAUAUUUUU